rnacentral:piRNA from 1 species
UGAAAAGAAAGAACUUCUCACUGGGGUCU